rnacentral:lncRNA from 1 species
UUCAAACUUUUUUCUUAAAUCAAACUUGUAAAUGAACUUAACCAUAUGUGACUUAAAAUUUCAAAAGACAAAAAGAACUAACACCCAUUCACACUUUUGGGCUCUUCGUGCCCUUUUUAACUUAAAUUUUGAUUAAAAGCAAUCCACUCAUUUUGAAAUUGUUACCAUAAACUAUGAGGUUUUGAUCUCUCAUUUUUAUAUUGGUACAUAGGCGCAAGUCCGAAGGUCUUGUCAAACACAAAAAUAUAAUCAACGAAUUAUUUUC